UACAGAGGUCUCAAGCGUUGUCCGGAUUUAUUGGGCGUAAAGAGCGUGUAGGCGGUUUGGUAGGUCCGUUGUGAAAACUCGAGGCUCAACCUCGAGACGCCGGCGGAAACCAUCAGGCUAGAGUCCGGAAGAGGAGAGUGGAAUUCCUGGUGUAGCGGUGAAAUGCGCAGAUAUCAGGAAGAACACCCGUGGCUAAGGCGGCUCUCUAGUACGGUACUGACGCUGAGACGCGAAAGCGUGGGGGAGCGAACAGG
rnacentral:rRNA from 1 species